rnacentral:rRNA from 1 species
AUUGAACGCUGGCGGCAUGCCUUACACAUGCAAGUCGAACGGCAGCACGGGUGCUUGCACCUGGUGGCGAGUGGCGAACGGGUGAGUAAUACAUCGGAACAUGUCCUGUAGUGGGGGAUAGCCCGUCGAAAGCCGGAUUAAUACCGCAUACGAUCCACGGAUGAAAGCGGGGGCCCUUCGGGCCUCGCGCUAUAGGGUUGGCCGAUGGCUGAUUAGCUAGUUGGUGGGGUAAAGGCCUACCAAGGCGACGAUCAGUAGCUGGUCUGAGAGGACGACCAGCCACACUGGGACUGAGACACGGCCCAGACUCCUACGGGAGGCAGCAGUGGGGAAUUUUGGACAAUGGGCGAAAGCCUGAUCCAGCAAUGCCGCGUGUGUGAAGAAGGCCUUCGGGUUGUAAAGCACUUUUGUCCGGAAAGAAAUCCUUGGCUCUAAUACAGUCGGGGGAUGACGGUACCGGAAGAAUAAGCACCGGCUAACUACGUG